rnacentral:rRNA from 1 species
UACGGAGGGAGCUAGCGUUGUUCGGAAUUACUGGGCGUAAAGCGCGCGUAGGCGGCUUUGUAAGUUAGAGGUGAAAGCCUGGGGCUCAACUCCAGAACUGCCUUUAAAACUGCAUCGCUUGAAUCCAGGAGAGGUGAGUGGAAUUCCGAGUGUAGAGGUAGAAAGUUCGUAGAUAUUCGGAAGAAACACCAGUGGCCGAAGGCGACUACCUGGCCUGUUCUUGACGACUGAGGCGGCGAAA